UUUUUUUUUUUUUGUGAGCGUAAUCUCACCUGGACGAGUUUCAUGAGAUUCUCCCAUUAGACUUUGGAUGAUCAAAAGUAUGAAACAUCAGCUCUGUGUUGAGGUGAGGUGUGUGUGUGUGUGUGUGUUGAUGGUAUGCUUGUGAAUGCAGGAUUUUGGGAAGGGUGUGUGUGUGUGAUUGAUAACAACUCUUUUAAAGGAAGGACUGUUGGUUAUUGCAGGCAAGUAUUAUCUCCAUAGCUGAUUCAAGCACACACUGCAAGCAGCUUUACUGAGAUUUGUUCUGCAGAACUGUUUUUACUUUUUUUUUUUUCUUGAGAUAAUCAGUGUGUAUUUAGAAAACAACCUAAAUAUUUUUUUAAUGUACAGAAUAGCUCAGACACUAGGAAAACACACCGUUGAGGUUUUUACUCUUGUGCACUACAGUUUGGUUUGUGUUGAGUGUGGACGAAGCCGGUAACCCGCUGUGUCUCAUGUGAUCUAGUUACAUGCCAGUCAACUGGAAGUAGAAUUAAUGAAUGUAAAAGAAGAAUCACCUUUCCUUCUCAACUGUUUUUGUAUGAAUUAUACAAGUGAAUUAAAGCCCAGAUUAAUAGUG